UACGUAGGGUGCAAGCGUUAUCCGGAAUUAUUGGGCGUAAAGAGCUCGUAGGCGGUUUGUCGCGUCUGCUGUGAAAACUGGGGGCUCAACCCCCAGCCUGCAGUGGGUACGGGCAGACUAGAGUGCGGUAGGGGAGAUUGGAAUUCCUGGUGUAGCGGUGGAAUGCGCAGAUAUCAGGAAGAACACCCGUGGCUAAGGCGGCUCUCUAGUACGGUACUGACGCUGAGACGCGAAAGCGUGGGGAGCGAACAGG
rnacentral:rRNA from 1 species